rnacentral:lncRNA from 1 species
ACAGCAUCUCCUUUGAAAAUUGCAUAAACGGGGGAAGCAACAAAGUAUAAAUAGAUAUCAUGAUAAGAAAACAUAUAAGACAUUAAUAAUCUACUAGCAAUGGGAAGACAACCAUAACAACAUGAACUGAAUUAAUCAGUGCGCACGACUAGUUAAAAACAAACAUCCUUUGACAAGAAGUUUCUAAUUAAAUUAUGGCUGCGUGUGGGCAGCAUUAUUAUGAGAAUGAAGGUGGAUGUGCUGCUACUUCCCACUCCCCUUGAUGAGCAACAAGCACCUGCAUUGAGUAAUGCAAGAGUGAGAUGAAACAUCUCAGCAAGCUAAUUGUUCUGACGAGAUAUUUAAACCACAAAUUGAAUUCAUCAACAUUUUAAAAGAGUCACAAUUAAAAAUCAGAAAUGCUUGUAGAUAUAGAACUCAGUAGUCCCACUAUAACCAAUACCAUCUCAUUUCCUCGAACAACCACAAUAGGUUCUAUAACACUUCCCUGCGUCAACAAUACCUGCAAAUAUCACUUCAAUGUAUGCAUAGGAAUGCAAUGUGUAGGUACUCUAUCUUCAUACCUCUGGGGGUAUAAAACCACAUCAUCUGCAAAUAUCACUUCAAUGAAUGCAUAUGAAUGCAAUGCAUAUGUCCUCUGCCUUCAUACCUCUAAGGGUAUGAAGCCGCAUCGUACCCCUUCUCGGGCAACGUACGAUGCUAAGUUGUACCGGUACGGUCGGACCAUAGGUCACGACAAAACUUCAUAUGCAAAUGAGUCAUGCAAUGUAUAUGGCAUGCUACAUUUAUCAAUAAACUUCACUUCCUUCAGAUACAACACAAACCUCAAAUAAUACUUCAUUUACCUUCAGAUACAAUACCAACCUCAAAUAAUACUUCAUUUACCUUCAGGGGUGUGAAUUAAUAUCAUGAGUCAUACUCAAAUCAUAAUCAUCAUCAAUAUAUGAUUGAGCAUCAGUAUAAUGCAAGCAAGUAAAGCAUCACCAUAGAGUCCAAUUAUGAAAGAAUCUGAUACUUCUGAAUAUUAGAGUGUAGGCGAUAGAAAUAACAGGUCAGAACGGAAGCAACCACCGCUACAUUCACUUGCCUUCAUCGAAGAAGAAGAAAUGUACUAGACAUGAUCUGGAGUGUAGCCACCUGCUAGUGGGCAUAAAACUUAGUACAAAUAUUUCACAAACAUUUGCCAUCAAUCAACAAAACACUUCUACACUUGAAACCAAGACCCAGUGGAAAGACUCCCGCCCUGAUCCACAUGCCAUACAGCAGCAACGCUGUUUGUUAAUUUUGUAUCUUUAAAAUUAAAACAGCGGUGAUAUCAAACAAAUACUCUAGGAGUAUCUACACAAAAUACUCUACAACUUCAGUAUUAAAUAGAUAAUUAAAUUCUGCCAUCUACAAGUUCUAAAACAUCUGACAAGAUAACUGACUGAAUCUGUUUUAGACAGCAGUAUGGUUAACUUUAAAAUUCGAUAUCUCCAAAACUGCUGAACUAAAAAUUAUGAAAUUCUGCUGAAAGUAAGAACUUUUAUCCCUCUACAAAAGUCUCCAUAGUUGGAAGAGCCAAUUCGGCCAUUUACUAGAUGAAACCCACCAGUGAACAGACCCACUCAUUUUUGUCAGGUAAACAGGAACAGCCACAGUAAAACAAACAUAACUGGAGUUUCACAAAUCAUAUGAAUGCACUCUUUAACAAUCUGGAAAGCUUAUAAAAUUAUCUACAACUUCUUUUACCAACCCACAGUUUAAUUCUGUUGAUAAAAUUGCCUAAAUCUUAAGAGAACAGAUUCUGCACAGAAUUAUGAGACUGAAAAACUGCUAUAGUAAAACUGCAAUAACUUUCUGGUCGGAUGUCCGAUUGAGGUGUUCUUCGCGGCCACGAAAAGAUCUACAAAUUAUCUACGACUCAUACAUAGACUUUUUAUUUUUUUGAGGCCACUAAGACCACGGAAAACUGGCAUGAACAGAAACUGUCGAAUCUGCUAUUCUGCAGAAAACUAAAUUCGAGAUCAAAACCUAACCCCACAUCAAAUCCAACCUCUAAUCCUUUAAUUCCCAUGAUCCACAACCUCCAAAAGCCUAUAAUUACAGGGAGGAACAAGGAUCUCAUCCAUACCUAGGGUUUCCCCAAGAAAUCUUCAAGAGGAGAUGGGGAAGAACAUCUCCUUGAUCCUCUCUUCCUCUUCAAUUCAACGUGCCCCUCCUUUUCUCGAUCCUUGCUGCGUAGGGGGAGAUCUUGGGGGAGGAAGCAAUGGAGGAUGGCUGCCUUAGGGGGAGGGGGCGUCCAGCCAAGGGGAGAAAAAGGGGGUGGCGGCCAAGAGGGGGGGUGAAGGGAAAAAAAGGGGUGGUCACCUAGGGUUUUUGUGGGAGAAAGAAACGACGCCUCAGAUGACUUCUAUCUUUGCAUCCAAUGGCCCACAACCCUUUACCUCAUCCACGCACCAGAGAUUAACUUUUGGUCAACAUUUUUUUUUGGGAUAUUACACUCUACCCCCCUUAAAAAGAAUUCGACCUCGAAUUCGGCCACUCCAAGCAAAACACCCAAGGUACCCCAUAUAGCACCACAAUUCAAAACAUGGGUCCAUUAUUGGUCUUAAUUAACUCAAGAACUUCUACCUUGGACUAAUUGUCUAAGGAAACUACACGACCUGACAUCAAGCAUGAAACAACAUGUAAUGAAGCUCAAAGCAUGUCAUAGUUGCAAUCAACACUCCAAUUUCACACCAUCAAAUUUGGAUGCAGCUAUACAUCAACAUCAAUGUCUUAAGACAACACUCUUUUAUGAAGGGGUAAUAUGCACCAAGCACAACCCUUACCAACUUCAACCAUUAAUUUUAAUUAAAUGGUGAAACAUCUACACCCGACGAAUGUAUAAGAAGAUCAAACACCUCACCUUAAAGCACUAUGAAACAAGUAGUUCUAUUGGAACAAAACUCCUAAUCUUCCUAAACCUUAUUCUUGCCAUCAUGAAAAGAUAAUCAUGUAAUCUAACAUUCCUUGCACCCCACCAAAAGGGAGAAAAUCUAUAGAACUAAUGGAGUAAUAAAGCCAAAAGAAGCCAAUAACAUCUUGUGCGGCAUAGUUCAUCGAAGAAAUGCCAAAAACUCUACAUAGAGCACUGAUAGCCCAACAACAACACAAUACUUGCUUAACCCAUGUCACUAUACUUCAUUCAACAUCUCAACUAAGAAAAAUAUCCAACUAGUAAGGAUAACCUACACAUAAUAUAAGUCUUCAUCUACUGUAGUUCAGAAACUUACAUUUCAUUCUAUCAUACGAUGCACUCAAAGUACCAGACAUACAAAGUCAAUAAUAAUAACCCCUAAUCC